rnacentral:rRNA from 1 species
UACGUAGGGUGCAAGCGUUGUCCGGAUUUAUUGGGCGUAAAGAGCGUGUAGGCGGCCACACAGGUCUGCUGUGAAAACUCGAGGCUCAACCUCGAGCUGUCGGUGGAAACCGUGUGGCUAGAGUCCGGAAGAGGAGAGUGGAAUUCCCGGUGUAGCGGUGAAAUGCGCAGAUAUCGGGAAGAACACCCGUGGCGAAGGCGGCUCUCUGGGACGGUACUGACGCUGAGACGCGAAAGCGUGGGGAGCAAACAGG